rnacentral:rRNA from 1 species
CAACAGCCGGUGUUUUCUGGGAUCUACUCUCUACUUGGAAUAACAGUGGGUAAUUCUAGAGCUAAUACAUGCAUCAAGGGCCUGACGCAAGGACCGGUCGCAUUUAUUUAGAACAAAACCAACCGGUCUUUGGGCCGUUGUUUGGUGACUCUGAAUAACUGAGCAAAUCACAUGGUCUCGCACCGGUGAUGUAUCUUUCAAGUGUCUGCCUUAUCAACUUUCGAUGGUAGUUUAUGUGCCUACCAUGGUUGUUACGGGUAACGGAGAAUCAGGGUUUGACUCCGGAGAGGGAGCCUGAGAAACGGCUACCACUUCUAAGGAAGGCAGCAGGCGCGCAAAUUACCCAUUCUUGGUACAAGGAGGUAGUGACGAAAAAUACCAAGCCGAGGCUCAUUGAGUUUCGGCAUUGGAAUGAGAACAACCUAAACUUUUUAACGAGGAUCUAGUGGAGGGCAAGUCUGGUGCCAGCAGCCGCGGUAAUUCCAGCUCCGCAAGUGUAUAUCUAUAUUGCUGAGGUUAAAAAGCUCGUAGUUGGAUCUGCGUGUUCAGCAUCUGGUGUGGUUUCUGAUCACUACUGGAAUGCAACACAUUGGUGUCGGUGUGCCACUGAUGUUCUUCACCGAGUGUCAGUGGUGGCUAACGAGUUUACUUUGAACAAAUUAGAGUGCUCAAAACAGGCGUUUCGCCUGAAUAUGUCUGCAUGGAAUAAUAGAAUAGGACUUCGGUUCUAUUUUGUUGGUUUUCGGAACUGAGGUAAUGAUUAAGGGGGACUGACGGGGGCAUUCGUACUGCGACGUGAGUUUCGUUUUUUCUUGGAUCGUCGCAAGACG